rnacentral:lncRNA from 1 species
UGAAAUCAUAAAUUAAAAGGGUGUAUUUGAAGGUGAAAUCCCUAAAUUAAAAGGGAUUUCACCCUUUUAUAAUCCACCUAUGCACUUGAAACGGUGCCACCUGGAAGCGUCAGCGUGCCACAUGUUNAAAAACUUCACGUUAACUGCAUUUAACUUUUAUUGAUUCAAAUUGACAAAAUUAGGGACCUAAUUGAUCACUUUCAAAAUUAGAGGACCCAAUUGAAACAAACCCCCAAAUAUAGGGACCUCCGAACCUAUUAAACCUUCAUCUUUUUAAAAGUGCUCACAAUAUUUGUUUUCUAAUCUCUUCAUAUUUAAUCAUAAUACUUAAAUAAAGUUGAUGUUGAUAAAGAUUAAUUUAUUUCAUUAAAGGAAAAACUUAUAGACAUCUUUCAACAAUUUUUGUAAAAAAAAGUUUGGUUGUCGGAGGCAUUAUAGUAUGAGUUGUGAUGUUACUGUAAAAAAAGUGUGGUUGUUGGAGGCAUUAUAGUAUGAGUGGUGCUUAGCCAUAUGGUGUGGAUUACGGAAAGGUACCAAUAGGGAGUGUACUUGUUUGGAUUUUAGCAGUUAACAGGAAAAUGAUGAGAUUUUGAGAUUUUAACUUUUCACAUGUACUUCACUUUCUGCUGUAUUUGCCCUAGCUAAAAGGUCUUUCUGAUAAAUGCAGAUGCUUCUGCAUUAUUAUUUAUCAGAAAAAGGAAAUCUAUCUGUGAAGUAAAUCUGCAUCACACAACACACCAUCUAUAUUCUGUGGUUACUAUAGCUGCACGACACAGACCUAAACCAGAGGUAUAUAACAUUGUUCUUUCAAUUAAAUUAGUGAAAUUCAGAUAGUGUAUACUUUAUUCAUAAAAAAAUGUUAUACUUUUUGCAACAUGUUGCAUUUUGGUUAGGGAACUGUAUUUGUAUGGCUAGUUUAUGUGCUUUUGUUUAUUUCAUAAUAAAGAGUAUGAAGUUAGAUAGUUGGUGUAAUUAAAAGAAGAAUAAAAAUGAAAUAUUAAAAGUAGUAUACAUUUAACUUUAUGCAUACAUAUUCUUAAUUUUACAAAUGUGGAAAAUGAUUUGAAUGAGUGUAUGAAUUUCAUUUUCCAAAACUUUUCUACAAUAAUCAAAUUUUUUUUGUAAUUAUUUAUUUAUUUAUCCUUUGAAUAUAAAAUAUUAAAAGUGACAUCAUUUUCAACUACCUAAGAGUUCAGCAUCAUUGAAUGAUUGACUCCAGAAGGAUCAUACUAGACAACAAAAAAAUAAUUGAAUUCAUCUCAUUUGGUUUGUUUAUUAUAUAUUUUACAAAAAUAAGUACUAAAUUUAAAAAAAAAAUCCUAGAUUACCCUUUAUUAAAACAUGAAAUAUUAAAGAUUAUAUCAAUAAAUAAGAUAAAAUCAUGAGUCAGCAAAAACCAGGUGUUUUUGGCAUAUUAUUGUUCAAUUAUAACUUAAUACUAUCUGAUAAAACUUGUGUUAAAAGCUAUGAACUUGAAUCAUAGUUUUGAAAACAUUUAAGUAUGAAAAUGCAUGAUGGCAGUUAGCAUUAACAUGCGAUGAUCGAAACUUACGAAUAUCAUCGUCGCUGAAGGGUUUGGAGUCAGCGAUUUCUUCAGGAGGCAUGGUGAAGCCGGUGAAGGAGAAAGAGAGUCCCAAGCUAGCACUUGAGGCUCUGCUGAGCGCUGCGCCACUGCUCAAAUCAUCAAAAUCCAACUU